rnacentral:rRNA from 1 species
AUUGAACGCUGGCGGCAGGCCUAACACAUGCAAGUCGAGCGGGGUUUUCGGACCUAGCGGCGGACGGGUGAGUAAUGCGUAGGAAGCUACCCGAUAGAGGGGGAUACCAGUUGGAAACGACUGUUAAUACCGCAUAAUGUCUACGGACCAAAGUGUGGGACCUUCGGGCCACAUGCUAUCGGAUGCGCCUACGUGGGAUUAGCUAGUUGGUGAGGUAAUGGCUCACCAAGGCGACGAUCCCUAGCUGGUUUGAGAGGAUGAUCAGCCACACUGGAACGGAGACACGGUCCAGACUCCUACGGGAGGCAGCAGUGGGGAAUAUUGGACAAUGGGCGCAAGCCUGAUCCAGCCAUGCCGCGUGCGUGAAGAAGGCCUUCGGGUUGUAAAGCACUUUCAGUAGGGAGGAAGCGUUGUGUGUUAAUAGUACACAGCGUUGACGUUACCUACAGAAGAAGCACCGGCUAACUCUGUGCCAGCCGCCGCGGUAAGAC